GCCUGGCUGGCUGAGUCGGUUAAGCGUCUGACUUCAGCUCAGGUCAUGAUCUCAUAGCUUGUGGGUUUGAGUCCCACAUCGGGCU
rnacentral:tRNA from 1 species